rnacentral:lncRNA from 1 species
AUGUCGAGCACCAGACUCGGAGCGUUUCGGAGUUUUUUAACGGAGAAAUUCAUGAACUUGGCUGUGGAGUUAUUUGAAGAAGUGGAAACUAUUGUGGAGACGUACUACGAGGAAAACAAGCGUCAGAGGACCAUACUACAGAUGGCUCUGAAUCCACAGAUACAGUUAUCAAAGAUAGAUAUUGGUCAACACACUGGAGCCACACCUAAUGUCAAAAAGCAGCCACCACAGCUGAAAACAUUGGUGCAACCAACGAGAGCAGAACCGCUUCCAAAAAAACAUAAGGAGGAACAAAUUGAAAGUGACAAAAACUCCAAAGCCGAUGACUUGUUGACAACUUGUGUGCAAAGUGACCCAGGAGAAGAAGAGAACAUAAAUAUGCCCUACAUCGUUAACUCCUUCCACAUUCCAGCGGAGGACCCCAAACCUGAUUUUACAGCCAGUCAUUCAGGUGAUGAAGAAGUAAUUUAUGGACACAAGGACAUCUUAACAGACUGCAAUGUAAAAAAUGUAGACGUUGUUGUAGAAAGUUUAUCUCUGUGUCAGAGUGAAGGGGGAACAACUGAAUGUGGUGAACCUCAAAACAGUCUUAUUUCGGAAAAGACCAAGUCGAAGCAUCUUUCUACCAAACGGACACCAACAAAACCCUGCCUACAGGAAACCAAACUUGAAUUACCAAGGUAA